rnacentral:ncRNA from 17 species
UCCUUAUCGAGAGAGGCGGAGGGACUGGCCCGAAGAAGCCCGGCAACCUGCAUAAUUUAACAAAAUUAUGCAAUGGUGCUAAAUCCUGCAGAGAAAUUCUGGGAGAUAAGGA